rnacentral:rRNA from 1 species
GACAGAGGCCCCAAGCGUUAGGCGGAAUCACUGGGCUUAAAGCGUGUGUAGGCGGACGCCUAGUGUCUUGUGAAAUCCCACGGCUCACCCGUGGAACUGCUGGGCAUACUGGGCGUCUUGGGCCAACUAGGGGCAGCCGGAACAAGCGGUGGAGCGGUGAAAUGCGUAGAUAUCGCUUGGAACGCCGAAGGUGAAAACAGGCUGCUGGGGUUGCGCCGACGCUGAGACACGAAAGCCAGGGGAGCAAACGGG